UACGAAGGGGGCUAGCGUUGCUCGGAAUCACUGGGCGUAAAGGGUGCGUAGGCGGGUCUUUAAGUCAGGGGUGAAAUCCUGGAGCUCAACUCCAGAACUGCCUUUGAUACUGAGGAUCUUGAGUUCGGGAGAGGUGAGUGGAACUGCGAGUGUAGAGGUGAAAUUCGUAGAUAUUCGGAGGAACACCAGAAGCGAAGGCGGCCAACUGGCCCGAUACUGACGCUGAGGCGCGAAAGCGUGGGGAGCAAACAGG
rnacentral:rRNA from 1 species